rnacentral:rRNA from 1 species
UACGUAGGGGGCAAGCGUUGUCCGGAAUCAUUGGGCGUAAAGCGCGCGUAGGCGGCCCGGUAAGUCCGCUGUAAAAGUCCAGGGCUCAACCCUGGAAUGCCGGUGGAAACUGUCGGGCUCGAGUCCGGAAGAGGCGAGUGGAAUUCCUGGUGUAGCGGUGAAAUGCGCAGAUAUCCGGAGGAACACCGGUGGCGAAGGCGGCAUCCUGGACCAAUUCUGACGCUGAGGAGCGAAAGCCAGGGGAGCAAACGGG